rnacentral:lncRNA from 1 species
GAAUUUUUCUAACCUAUUUGAUCUAGAUGUUCGAGUUGCCCAAUAUGAGCAAUUCCAAAAGAAAAGUAAGGACGAUCGGCUGCAAUGGAGCCGAUAUAAAAAUCAAAGUAAAGGUAAGGAGAAAUCCUCGAUAGAAGAACAGUCGGUUCAAGAACAGCCGAACCAAUCGAAUGAAAGUGAAGAAUCGGCUGAUGAAGCCGAGGUAUAUGCGGCUGGUAA